AGUUCCAGAGCUGGAGGAUGACGAUGCUGCGUUUGGUGAUUCAGAUGAAGAGAUGGAAGCUCCAGAUAUCACUCCUCGUACCAAGAAGGGGAAGAGAAAAUCCUCAGAGGAGCUCGACUUCUCUGGAUCUUUAGGUUCAAAACAGACGAAGAAGAAGAAGAA